AGGACGAACGCUGGCGGCGUGCUUAACACAUGCAAGUCGAGCGGAAAGGCCCUUCGGGGUACUCGAGCGGCGAACGGGUGAGUAACACGUGAGUAAUCUGCCCCUAGCUCUGGGAUAGCUCCGGGAAAACCGGGAUUAAUACCGGAUACGACCACCUUAGACAUCUUUUGUGGUGGAAAGAAUUUCGGCUAGGGAUGAGCUCGCGGCCUAUCAGCUUGUUGGUGGGGUAAUGGCCUACCAAGGCGACGACGGGUA
rnacentral:rRNA from 1 species